AAAGUUAUGUGUCAGGGUAGCCAGUGACUUUUAUUUGCUCACGUAGGCAGUGGGAUCUUAGUCGGUCUUUUCACCAUUUGCUGUCCAGCAUUAACUGUACUCAUCAUGCAGGUCAUUGAUUAGCCAGUUGGAGACCCGCAGCUUGAUCAUAUCUACAGGGAACAAAAUUGAGUGACAGAUGUAUUGGCAAAGAAUGGAACUAUGAUGCAUAGUAAUAUCAACAUUUUGGAAGUUCCUCCUUUGUAUGUUUUGGUUAUUUUGGAGGCAAACAAACGAGGAACUCUGUAUAUAUGCUAGGAGACUACCAUGAAACUGUAAUAUAAUGCGUGUGCUUCAACAAGCAUCACCUUUGUACCAAACUUUUGUUAUUGUUAAUAAUAAUAAUAAUAUCCUUAUAGCCAAAAAA